AUUGAACGCUGGCGGCAUGCUUUACACAUGCAAGUCGAACGGUAACAGGGAGCUUGCUCCGCUGACGAGUGGCGAACGGGUGAGUAAUGCAUCGGAACGUACCGUGUAAUGGGGGAUAACGUAGCGAAAGUUACGCUAAUACCGCAUACGCCCUGAGGGGGAAAUGGGGGACCGCAAGGCCUCACGUUAUACGAGCGGCCGAUGUCGGAUUAGCUAGUUGGUGGGGUAAAGCCUACCAAGGCGACGAUCCGUAGCGGGUCUGAGAGGAUGAUCCGCCACACUGGGACUGAGACACGGCCCGGACUCCUACGGAGGCAGCAGUGGGGAAUUUUGGACAAUGGGGGCAACCCUGAUCCAGCCAUGCCGCGUGAGUGAAGAAGGCCU
rnacentral:rRNA from 1 species